AAGCUUUGUAUCAUGUGCAACAUUUCUUUAAGUGUAUUCAUGGCUUGGCACUUAAAUUAACCACACCCAGCUGCGAUAAAAUUGCCAACUUCAGCACCUGUGUCCACUUUGGAGCCCUGAGUUGGGCUUGUUAAGGGUGAUGAGGUUCAGCUGUUCUGGAAGUCACUCAGCUGUUCUGGGGGUGUUCUCUUCACCCAGGCACUGCACAGAAGGAGCCCUGGAAGGACCUGGGGCUGCUUUUGGCUUGGAGUGAGAGUACAGACAACAUGGGUGCCUUGGAGGGAGGGCAGCAGUUGUAGAUUGAGAACCAAGCAAUUAUUUCCAGAACCAAGGAGACUUGUUCUAAAAUACCUGUAAAGCUGGGAGAAAAGGAUGGAUAAAUCUCACUGAAAUCACUGUUCUGAGGCUGCAGGCACAGCUAUUGAGGACAGCCCAGAUGCAAGCCAGGUCCUGUUUCCAAAGCACAGAGUGGAUUAAAAGGUAUGAUUGCAGUUCUAGUUAGCAAAACUUUAACAAAGCUUGUCACAAAUGAGCUAAGAAU
rnacentral:lncRNA from 1 species